UUUAAAAUAAUGAUGGGGACAGUAUUCUGAACAGAAACAUUAAGAGAUAAAUGCCUUUGGCUGGGAGCAUUUUUGGGAUGUUCAGAUGAAGACCGCCCUUGAAUGUUUAGCUGAAUUGAUUAGGCUAAGCCGUUUAGUCCGCGUUAAGGAUUCAAAGGGGAAUUUGUUGAACGGUUAAGUUGCCGUAAUCACAUUUCUUAAAUUUGGGUGGAACCACGGGUAAGCAUACUUUCGUCCCAUAC
rnacentral:ncRNA from 1 species